AUUCUAAAACCAGUUGUUGGCAUGAUACGGGUUAUGUUCUUCUCAUAUAUUUUAUGAUGGUAUAAUACUAAACCCCUAACGGGAGGGAUUGUACUUGAUUUUCAUAUGAUUAAGACAUAAUCUUUCAAUCAGUUUGAUUGAAGUCUGGAGCUGGCAUGUCAGUAACUGCUAGUAGUACUUUGUUAAUGUAUGUAUCAUUGUCAUUAUGCUUAGUUUCUUUUGUUACCUAUUCUGACAUCGGACUCGGACUUCUUUUAAACUGAGUUUUACUGUGCGUAUUGCUAUGUGUUUCUUUAUUCUACAUUGGAUAGAGGUAUAGCCGGAGGGUUGAGAUCUCACAAAACAUGUUUAAUUUCGCCGCAUUUUUGCGCCUGUCCCAAGUCAGGAGCCUCUGGCCUUUGUAGUCUAUGUACAGUAGUUGUCGUUUGUUUAUGUAGUUCAUACGUGUUUCUCGUUUCUCGUUUUUAUAUAUAUAAGACCGUUGGUUUUCCCGUUUGAAUGGUUUUACAUUACUUAUAUUUGGGGCCCUUUAUAGCUUUCUGUUCGGUGUGAGCCAAGGCUCCGUGUUGAAGGCCGUACCUUGACCUAUAAUGGUUUACUUUUAUAAAUUGUUAUUUGGAUGGAGAGUUUUCUCAUUGGCACUCAUACCGCAUCUUCCUAUAACUAUUAUAUGUUUUUUAAUUUUAGUUCAUUUAUAUGUUUUGGAGUUUAGUGUGACUUCCAUUUUCACUGAACUAGUACACAAUUUUUUUAGGG
rnacentral:lncRNA from 1 species